UCGGGAAUUUUGGGCAAUGGGCGAAAGCCUGACCCAGCAACGCCGCGUGAAGGAUGAAGUCUUUCGGGAUGUAAACUUCGUAAGGAUAGGAAGAAUAAAUGACGGUACUAUUUGUAAGGUCCGGCUAACUACGUGCCAGCAGCCGCGGUAAUACGUAGGGACCAAGCGUUGUUCGGAUUUACUGGGCGUAAAGGGCGCGUAGGCGGCAAUUCAAGUCAGUUGUGAAAUCUCCGAGCUUAACUCGGAACGGUCAACUGAUACUGUUUUGCUAGAGUACAGAAGGGGCAAUCGGAAUUCUUGGUGUAGCGGUGAAAUGCGUAGAUAUCAAGAGGAACACCUGAGGUGAAGACGGGUUGCUGGGCUGAUACUGACGCUGAGGCGCGAAAGCUAGGGUAGCAAACG
rnacentral:rRNA from 1 species